AUUGAACGCUGGCGGCAGGCCUAACACAUGCAAGUCGAACGAGCGGCGGACGGGUGAGUAAUGUAUGGGAAUCUGCCCGAUAGAGGGGGAUAACUACUGGAAACUGUGGCUAAUACCGCAUACCAUCGGAUGAGCCCAUGUGGGAUUAGCUAGUAGGUGGGGUAAAGGCUCACCUAGGCGACGAUCCCUAGCUGGUCUGAGAGGAUGAUCAGCCACACUGGGACUGAGACACGGCCCAGACUCCUACGGGAGGCAGCAGUGGGGAAUAUUGCACAAUGGGCGCAAGCCUGAUGCAGCCAUGCCGCGUGUAUGAAGAAGGCCUUAGGGUUGUAAAGUACUUUCAGCGGGGAGGCGUUACCCGCAGAAGAAGCACCGGCUAACUCCGUGCCAGCAGCCGCGGUAAUAC
rnacentral:rRNA from 1 species